UGACCGCGCCUGUGCAUGUGCGUGCACACGCCCGCGCGCGCGCCUGUGGGCGUGGCAGCCCGCUUCCCCGCCCCUCGGCACCGCCCAUGGGCGGGGCGAACGUGCCCUCCGCGGGGCGUGACCGGCUCAGGGAGUCCCGCCCCCGAGCAGAGCGGGGCGGGGCAGGGCCAUGGCGCGAGUGCUGGUGGUGGGCGCGGGGCUGACGGGCGGCGCGUGCGCGGCGCUGCUGCGGGGGGCGGCGCUGGGCAGCGUCACCGUCUGGGACAAGGCGCGCGGCGCAGCUUCUAUGAGGAGCUUCUGUCUCAUGGUGUCUUGGAACCACUUACUGCGCCUGUUGAAGGAAUGGUAGUGAAAGAAGGCUCCUGCAAUUAUAUGGCACCCCAGGGCAUCUCCUCGGUUGUCAAGUAUUAUUUAAAACAGUCAGCAGGUGCAGAUGUCGUCUAUGAGCAGCAUGUAACUUGCAUCUCUCUCAGAGAUGGGAAAUGGGAAGUCUCCAGGAAAAUGGGUCCACCAGAACAGUUUGAUAUAGUUAUUCUCACAAUGCCUGUUCCACAAAUUCUUCAGCUGCAGGGUGACCUUCUAAACAGGAGACAGAACAUCUGCCGUGGAAAGGCGGAAAAGCGGCUGUUAAUGGUGGCUGUGAGCUUUCCUCCUGCUCUGCCUCUCAACCUCAGGUGUCGUCUGUACCGAGACCUUGCGGAUCAGCCCCACUUGCUGUGCUUCCACCCCGGUCAGCUGCAGCCCAGGAGCCAGAAACAGCAGGCAGAUAUCAUCCUAGUUAUUUAUACGUUCAUCCUGUCCACGUCGAAACAUAGAGCAGACUUUUAUAUUCUUCCGAAGCCCAGCAAGAAUGCGUGAUACGUUGUGAUUAUUCCUCAUAGCUGCAACAAGGGGGCCUGAUGGUGAUGGACACCUCGGAACCCAACUGUGCAGAGCCCGCACCUGAAGGACAGGAGGGUUUCUGGCCCAGAUCUGUCCCCUGCGCUGUGUGGCAGCUCUGUCCCCUGUCCAGGCUCUGGUGCUCGGCCAGGAGGCGCUGGGACAAGCGCUGCUGAAAUCCUCACAUCCCUCUUGCGACUUGGCAGUGAAGAGCCCCCAAGACGCUUCCAGACGGAAGAUACCGGCAGCGUUCUCUACGCUGAACUGUUGCUGGUGACAGACCAGCAGUAUAACCAACGGGAACCGUUCCCUGCCAUAACUUAUGUGGAGGCAGCUUUGCCAAGGGAAGGUGACAGCAGAGGUUGAGGGGUCUUUGACUCAAUGCUUGGAGGUGUUCCUGAUGUCCAGGGAGAGAAGUGGAUCCUCCUUGGAAAGAUCUAGGUGCAGGGACAAGUGAUUAAUAGAAGUCAAAAGCAGCAACUGGAAUGUGUGAGCUACUCCUCCCGCUACGCUCUGGGACUAUUUUAUGAAGCCGGUACACGGAUUGAUGUCCCCUGGGCCGCACAGUACAUCACCGAUAAUCCCUGCA